UGUGUAACAUUUUCUUCAUGUCAGGAUCGUGAGUGAGGACAGGGGUAACUGUGACAAGGAGACCCUGCUCUACCUAUACAUUACUAACGGUGGGAUCGCCCUUGGAUUCACUGUCAUUGGUCUGAUCUACUCUCUGUUGAUCUGCAGAUGUGCCACGAAACGCAGACACAAUAGAGAGGUCAAUGAGCACAUGGAACAUGAGAAACAGGCGGAGCUGCAGAAAAGGGCCAGCAGAAGAAGUCACGAGAAAGUCACCUACGUGCCUGCCUGGCCGGGGACCUACGUCGCCCACCCUCAGGCCACAGCGGCGACUAAAACCGAAGCCAGCAACGGUGACUUAAACGCUGCCAAAAGGUUGUCUUCAGAUCAGCCGCAAGUCGAUCACAAAGUGGACAGCGGUCAACCUAUCCCCAAUAAAGAGCAGCCUUCAAACAAGGAUAAUCAAACAAGUGAGCCUAAAACCGGAGACGCCACAACCCACUUGUAACUUUUAACUUGAGCUAAAAGUGUCCCUUAAAGUGGAAAUGAAAUCACAACAUAAAUAACUUUGCUUUUAUAGAAGGAAAACGAUCUACUAUGACGAUACAUUUUAUAGGCCAGUGAUGGAAUAAUGCCAACUUUCUUUCAUACUUAAGAAAAAAAAAAUCUAAUCAAUGUAUUGACUGUUCUAUAAAGAGGAUAAUAUGGCACUGAAAUGGCACCACUUGCUUUUAUAUAUUUUAGUACUUUUUCCAAGUGUAAA
rnacentral:sRNA from 1 species